GGUUAAGCGACUAAGCGUACACGGUGGAUGCCCUGGCAGUCAGAGGCGAUGAAGGACGUGCUAAUCUGCGAUAAGCGUCGGUAAGGUGAUAUGAACCGUUAUAACCGGCGAUUUCCGAAUGGGGAAACCCAGUGUGUUUCGACACACUAUCAUUACGUGAAUACAUAGCGUAAUGAAGCGAACCGGGGGAACUGAAACAUCUAAGUACCCCGAGGAAAAGAAAUCAACCGAGAUUCCCCCAGUAGCGGCGAGCGAACGGGGAGCAGCCCAGAGUCUGAAUCAGCUUGUGUGUUAGUGGAACGGUCUGGAAAGUCCGACGGUACAGGGUGAUAGUCCCGUACACCAAAAUGCACAGGUUGUGAACUCGAAGAGUAGGGCGGGACACGUGGUAUCCUGUCUGAAUAUGGGGGGACCAUCCUCCAAGGCUAAAUACUCCUGACUGACCGAUAGUGAACCAGUACCGUGAGGGAAAGGCGAAAAGAACCCCGGCGAGGGGAGUGAAAAAGAACCUGAAACCGUGUACGUACAAGCAGUGGGAGCCUGAUUCGUCAGGUGACUGCGUACCUUUUGUAUAAUGGGUCAGCGACUUAUAUUCUGUAGCAAGGUUAACCGAAUAGGGGAGCCGAAGGGAAACCGAGUCUUAACUGGGCGUUAAGUUGCAGGGUAUAGACCCGAAACCCGGUGAUCUAGCCAUGGGCAGGUUGAAGGUUGGGUAACACUAACUGGAGGACCGAACCGACUAAUGUUGAAAAAUUAGCGGAUGACUUGUGGCUGGGGGUGAAAGGCCAAUCAAACCGGGAGAUAGCUGGUUCUCCCCGAAAGCUAUUUAGGUAGCGCCUCGUGAACUCAUCUUCGGGGGUAGAGCACUGUUUCGGCUAGGGGGUCAUCCCGACUUACCAACCCGAUGCAAACUGCGAAUACCGAAGAAUGUUAUCACGGGAGACACACGGCGGGUGCUAACGUCCGUCGUGAAGAGGGAAACAACCCAGACCGCCAGCUAAGGUCCCAAAGUCAUGGUUAAGUGGGAAACGAUGUGGGAAGGCACAGACAGCCAGGAUGUUGGCUUAGAAGCAGCCAUCAUUUAAAGAAAGCGUAAUAGCUCACUGGUCGAGUCGGCCUGCGCGGAAGAUGUAACGGGGCUAAAC
rnacentral:rRNA from 1 species